CGGCGGCGGCGCGGGCGGUGGAGGCCGCAGGGGGGUGCGGCGGCGGUACCCACCUGAAGUCCUUGUCGCUGGAUGUCAUUUUCUCCAUCUAGGUGCUGUUCAUAUCAAAAGGGUUCAUUCACGAGAGCUGUGAGUGCCUGUCAGCGACCUGCGUGGGGCACCAGGUCAAUGAAUGUGCUCUCUCUCCCUCAUUUAUGAGACUGUCAGUAACAGCAAAGAUGAAAAAAGUACACAUACAAUUAUUCUUCCAUGAACCAAGGUGAACAGAGGCAGUUAAAACUAAAUUGGAGUGAAUGAAUCUAUGGAAUAGAAUAUAACUUUGCAGCGUCUGAUUUGGAGCAAAACUGACUCAUCCACAGAAUCCUCCAAGGUAAAGUGACUCAGUGACUCUACUCCUGGAGCAGAUGAUGCUUGUUGCCAGCCUACCAUCACUUGAACAACGAACGUAGUCUGCUGCCUGACAAGAUGUGUCUCUGUUGGCUGCCACAAACUGACUCAUGUUUUGAUCUUUUUCACACUCUUUAGACAUUUUACUGAAGUGCUGUAUUAGUCUUUAACUCACAUGCUGAAGCUGUACAGCUCCUAAUAUAUGAUGUAUUCUUUUCUUCUAAAUUUUCUAUUUGAGAAAUAAAUUAAUAAUAGUGACUCAGUACUCACUGUCAUCCCCAUUCUCACAGCAGAAAAGUCUAAAAACAUCCCCUGACUUCCAUACCCUCUGCAGGAGAGAC